UACGUAGGGGGCUAGCGUUGUCCGGAAUCAUUGGGCGUAAAGCGCGCGUAGGCGGUCCGGUAAGUCGGCUGUGAAAGUCAAGGGCUCAACCCUUGAAAGCCGGCCGAUACUGUCGGACUAGAGUCCGGAAGAGGCGAGUGGAAUUCCCGGUGUAGCGGUGAAAUGCGUAGAGAUCGGGAAGAACGCCAAGGGCGAAGGCACUCUGCUAGGCCUGAUUUCGCGACUGACACUCAGGGACGAGAGCCAGGGGGAGCGAAUGGG
rnacentral:rRNA from 1 species